AGUGAACGCUGGCGGCGUGCCUAAUACAUGCAAGUCGAACGAAGUGGCGCACGGGUGAGUACUAUAUAGUUAAUCUGCCCUACACAGAGGAACCACAGUUGGAAACGACUGCUAAUACCGCAUAGUGUAGGAUGAGACUAUAUCUGAUCAGCUAGUUGGUAAGGUAAUGGCUUACCAAGGCAAUGACGCGUAACUGGUCUGCGCGGAUGAUCAGUCACAUUUAAACUGAGACACGGUCCAAACUCCGACGGGAUGAAGCAGUAAGGAAUAUUACGCAAUGGGGGAAAUCCUGACGCAGCAACGCCGCGUGGAGGAUGACACGUUUCGGAGCGUAAACUCCUUUUAUCAGGAAAGCGGUGCCGGAUGAAUAAACACCGGCUAACUCCGUGCCAGCAGCCGCGGUAAUAC
rnacentral:rRNA from 1 species